CAACUGCUGAAGAGUCUCACAAUGAGACGAAACGGCCGUCUAGUGG
rnacentral:hammerhead_ribozyme from 1 species